rnacentral:rRNA from 1 species
CCUACGGGAGGCAGCAGUAGGGAAUCUUUCACAAUGGGCGAAAGCCUGAACCAGCCAUGCCGCGUGCAGGAAGACGGCUCUAUGAGUUGUAAACUGCUUUUGUACAAGGGUAAACCUGAAUACGUGUAUUCAGCUGAAAGUACUGUACGAAUAAGGAUCGGCUAACUCCGUGCCAGCAGCCGCGGUAAUACGGAGGAUCCAAGCGUUAUCCGGAUUUAUUGGGUUUAAAGGGUGCGUAGGCGGAUUGAUAAGUUAGAGGUGAAAUGUCCGAGCUUAACUCGGGAACUGCCUCUAAUACUGUUGAUCUAGAGAGUAGAUGCGGUAGGCGGAAUGUAUGGUGUAGCGGUGAAAUGCUUAGAGAUCAUACAGAACACCGAUUGCGAAGGCAGCUUACCAAUCUAUAUCUGACGUUGAGGCACGAAAGCGUGGGGAGCAAACAGGAUUAGAUACCCUUGUAGUC